rnacentral:misc_RNA from 1 species
GAUGAAGAACGCAGCGAAAUGCGAUAAGUAGUGUGAAUUGCAGAUUUCAGUGAAUCAUCGAAUCUUUGAACGCACAUUGCGCCCCCUGGUAUUCCGGGGGGCAUGCCUGUUCGAGCGUCAUUUCACCACUCAAGCCUCGCUUGGUAUUGGGCAACGCGGUCCGCCGCGUGCCUCAAAUCGACCGGCUGGGUCUUCUGUCCCCUAAGCGUUGUGGAAACUUUCGCUAAAGGGUGUUCGGGAGGCUACGCCGUAAAACAACCCCAUUUCUAAGGUUGACCUCGGAUCAGGUAGGGAUACCCGCUGAACUUAAGCAUAUCAAUAAGCGGAGGA